rnacentral:rRNA from 1 species
UACGUAGGGUGCAAGCGUUGUCCGGAAUUAUUGGGCGUAAAGAGCUCGUAGGCGGUCUGUCGCGUCGGCUGUGAAAUCUCCACGCUUAACGUGGAGCGUGCGGUCGAUACGGGCAGACUUGAGUUCGGUAGGGGAGACUGGAAUUCCUGGUGUAGCGGUGAAAUGCGCAGAUAUCAGGAGGAACACCGGUGGCGAAGGCGGGUCUCUGGGCCGAUACUGACGCUGAGGAGCGAAAGCGUGGGGAGCGAACAGG